UUAGUGUUAGUUUGAAAUGUUAGGCUUCAAGUUAUUAGGUGGGAAAGAAAGAAUAGAAAAGAGAAGAAAGUUUUUGGUUUUUUGAUGAAGGGGACUAAACCUAAGUUUUUUAUUAAUAGGCCUGACAAGAUUUACGAAUCCUGCUCCUACGUAUCUCCGGGUGCAAUAGAGAACUCAAGGUUUACGUAGUUCUGGGUCGAUUUU
rnacentral:lncRNA from 1 species